UUAAGUUUCGUGUCAACGACACGACUAGGUCUAGGUCCCCUCCCGACUAGUUGAACACACGACCCUGUGCAAACCUGCUCUUUCAACGACUGUCCUUUUUCUCUGCAGAUUUGUCUCCAUCUCAGUUCAAACGAUUCAUCGAGGUAAUUAUUCCCCGUCAAGAAUCCAAAUUUAUCACCAUCUUCUUAUGUUAUAGUGUGUAUAUUCAUGUUUUUGCAUUUGAAUUGUUAAUUUGCAAGCAAAAGUGUAAAGUAAACAAUCGACAGUUAAAGCUCAUUUUUUUAAAAUCUGGCGAAAAAAGAAUUCAUAUCUUGACUGUAGUUGUUAGCUAGGGUUAAUUGUGUUGAAUUGGGCUUUAUCUUAGUCGACGCUUUUGGCUUUUGGGUUUCUCGGUUGAAUUGUCGAUUGCUUACUUUACACUUUUGCUUGCAAUUAUUUUCCUAAUUUCUUGGAAAUACAUAUGAAACUGCGUGAGUUAGGAUUUAGGGCCCGAGAGAUAUAUUUUGAAUUGAAUAUGAUUUUGGAUAUGGAAUGAACAUCUAAAAGAUGUUGGAUUGAUUGAAGUUGUUCAAUAGCUAGUCAUUUAAUUAUUGAGUAGGUGAUAGUUACAGUUUCAAACUGAAAUUCUUGUUCCAAUCUCAACAAGAACUAGGAAGAACUAUAUCUUAAAAACACAAAUGUAAGGCAUUUAUGAGCUUUCACUCUUUAAGUUGAGUUAUUUAACGAAACUAGAGAUCAUCCUGCUAUUAUGAUUCUCUUUGGUGGUAGCAGGUUUUUAUAUUUCAUAAAGUAUAAAUCUGUUUGCUUUAUCUUAUUUUUUUAGCAUUUGUACCAACAUCAGGCUUAUGGUUUUCUGAUUGUCUUUGUAAAUUGUAUUCCUCUUAUUAAAUGUAGUCGGUAUUCCCUUUUCAUUUUUACAAUGCUGAAUUUGACUUUUACCCUUUUCGUUUACUGAUUGUUGCCCACGACUUCUCCACUAUUGCUUCGAGUUAUCACCAAGUACAUGGAUAUUCAUGAGUCUGGCUCCGAUGAUGGAAGUGACGAUGAGAGUUCUUCGACUAAGAUAUUCAUUAGUCCACUAGAGGCAACAAUCCACAAAAUCCAAAGGAGUUAUAUAACCUCAGACAUGCAAUUGUUAGGAAUGUGAUGGAAAGAACUCUUGGGUUAUUCAAAAAGAGAUGGAAAAUCUUAGAAAAGUAUCUUUUUUUUUGUUUUAUGUCAAAACGCAUGUGAAUAUCAUCAAUGCUUGUGCUAUUCUUCACAAUCUUAUUUGAGUAGAAGCACCUAAUGUAUGGAAUGAACAACUAAAGAUAAGUUUAUAUAUGUAUAUUAUAUUCUUGUCUUUAAUCUUUGAUAAGAAAUUCUUGUUUUUUUGUAAUUGAUGUAUGCACCUCUGUGAUGAUAUUAGUGUUGUAUUAGUUGUAGUUAUGGUCAUGCAUCAGCUCAUUCUUUUAAAUAUAGUAUUAAAUUGUUUGCUUGCUGGACUUUACACUAUCUAUGCAUAUGUAGUUUUUGUGAAUAUGAUAUGAAGCUUUAACACAUAGAUGCCUAUGUGAAAGUACAGGUUUGCUCUCAAUUAUUCUUGUGGAAGUGGGAGUGUUUUGGUGUAUGUGAAGUUAACUGUGAUUGUUAUUGUUUUGUAGGCAAAUCCAAAAAUUGCACCUUAUAGGAAAAUAAUUGUUAUAAAGAAUUGAGAUGAUAUUUGUACUCUUUUUUCUCAAGAUCGUGCUUUAGGGUCAAGAUUCGAAAACAUUUCAAGAAUAUAUUAAUGAGGUUGACAUUGAGGUUGAUUCUGCUACCAUUGGAGAAUCACUUGAUAUGAUUGUUAAAGAAGCUAAUGCUAUGAGAGAUUUGUUGGCCCGAAAAGAAGGAAAGGAGACAGCAUCUUCCUCAAGUUCUCUAGGAUCAAAGAAGAAAACAUCAUCGACUAAGUUAUAUGAUUGUAUACAGUGAAUGAGUACUGAUUUUAGUGACUAUCUAAUGGUGGAAGUCUGAGCUUGUUGUGGAGCAGAAAAGCUUAUUAUAGAGCUGAAAAAACUUCUUGAAGAGAAAAGCUUCUUAUAGAAAAGAAAAUAAAAAGAUGAACCCCCAAGAUAUAUUAGCAGAGUUGAAGACGGUUGAUUUGGAUGAGAUGCAGAUGAUCAACGCUCUGGAUUUGAUGAUGCACGAUUGCGUAUUAUUCGAUACAUUUGUGGUAAUACCAAUAGAGUUGGUGUGCAAGUCGAUUAAAGCACAACUUGAUCAAUUUGAACUUUGUCUGAAUUUAAUAUGUUGUAUUUAAUUUAGUAGACUUUAUUUUUGAAAAAUAGUAACUUUGAAUGUAUUGCUGACAUCUUAGUACCUUUAACAGUAUUUUAGAUUACAAAAUUAA